rnacentral:rRNA from 1 species
AUUGAACGCUGGCGGCAUGCCUUACACAUGCAAGUCGAACGGUAACGCGGGGCAACCUGGCGACGAGUGGCGAACGGGUGAGUAAUGCAUCGGAACGUAUCCGAUAGUGGGGGAUAGCUCGGCGAAAGCCGGAUUAAUACCGCAUACGAUCUACGGAUGAAAGCGGGGGCUCGCAAGACCUCGCGCUGACGGAGCGGCCGAUGUCAGAUUAGGUUGUUGGUGGGGUAAAAGCCUACCAAGCCUGCGAUCUGUAGCUGGUCUGAGAGGGCGACCAGCCACACUGGGACUGAGACACGGCCCAGACUCCUACGGGAGGCAGCAGUGGGGAAUUUUGGACAAUGGGCGCAAGCCUGAUCCAGCCAUGCCGCGUGCGGGAAGAAGGCCUCGGUUGUAA